GGCUGGGCAUGAGUGCUGGCAUGUAUUAUCUGAGCUGAGGUCUGUCACCACGUUAGCUCUAGAAUUACUCUGAAGCCCA